UACAGAGGUCCCAAGCGUUGUUCGGAUUCACUGGGCGUAAAGGGUGCGUAGGUGGUUGCGCAAGUCUGAUGUGAAAUCUCCGGGCUCAACCCGGAAAUGGCAUUGGAAACUGCGUGGCUAGAGGGUUGGAGGGGGGACUGGAAUACUUGGUGUAGCAGUGAAAUGCGUAGAUAUCAAGUGGAACACCAGUGGCGAAGGCGAGUCCCUGGACAACACCUGACACUGAGGCACGAAAGCUAGGGGAGCAAACGGG
rnacentral:rRNA from 1 species